AUGCCUUCCACACCUUCCAUGGCACCCGAUCUAGUGAAUGCUUCAAAUUCUUACUAUAUGCUUCUUCGAGAGUUGUUCUUCCGUUUGGUCUUUGGUCUUCAAGUUGAGUCUUCCCUUUUCAUGGAGAUAAUUGCCUUUUGGUUGUGGCUCCAAGGGAAUGGCCAAGUUGAUUUCCUUCGGCGCAUAUACUCUUUUGGUGACAACCAUUUUUGUGCCCUUGUUUCUUCUGCAAAACGUUUUCUGGAACUUCUCCAUUUCGGAUUUGAUGAUUUAGCGAGCAGAUCUAUACCAAGAAGUGACUUUAAGAAGGAAGCUGUUGAAGGAAUUGCUUUCUACCUCAAUGGUAUCUGUUACGAGGCCUUGGAAGAUCUUCGAGAAAGAAUAGAGAUGGAUUUUAUCCAUAAUCAGAGGACAUAUCUGCGCCAUAAUGCCUAUAGACAGUCCAUGACGGAUCGGGUUCCUGUAGGCUCGGAGCACCUUCUCAGCAAGAUCAAAGCUUUGUAUGUCAACACUCCAAAUCAUGAUGGAGAAGACACAAGUUCUAGAAAUAUCCAUGUUCAAACAAGUCAUAUAAAUGACGAAGUACACGAUUAUCAUUCAACUUCCCGUUUGGUGACAUCAUUGGAUAGCUUGAGCUUAAGAGAGAAGCAUAAUGAUGGAAUCAUGCAACAAUCAUCUGAUGUUCCUAAAAGCUCGAAUCACCUUCUUACCAAGAUCAAGGCUUUGUAUGCUAACACUCCAAAGCAUCCUGGAGAAGGCACAAGUUCUAGAAAUAUCCAUGUUCAAACAAGUCAAAUGCAUCAUGGAGAAGGCUCAAGUUCAAGAAAUAUGCAUGCUCAAACAAGUCAUAUGUUCCGCCAUGAUUAUCAAUCAACCUCCCGUUUGGCAGCAUUGCUGGAUAAGUUGAGCUUAAGAGAAAACCAUAACGAUGCGAUCAUGCAACAACUAUCUGAUGUUCCACCUGAUGAGAGAACUUUGUUCGUGACAUUUUCCAAUGGUUACCCACUGACCAAAGAUGAACUGUAUGAUUUUUUUAUGAGUACUGGAGGCCCUUGGUUAAGAGCUAUGGCAUCGACGCCACGGACCUACUCAGCUCUCGCUUCAGGGCUACAUCGAACUCGCUAUCACCAAGGGUGCAGGCUCUAG
rnacentral:rRNA from 1 species